GUGCCAGCCGCUGCGGUAAUACGUAUGUCCCGAGCGUUAUCCGGAUUUAUUGGGCGUAAAGCGAGCGCAGACGGUUUAUUAAGUCUGAUGUGAAAGCCCGGAGCUCAACUCCGGAAUGGCAUUGGAAACUGGUUAACUUGAGUGCAGUAGAGGUAAGUGGAACUCCAUGUGUAGCGGUGGAAUGCGUAGAUAUAUGGAAGAACACCAGUGGCGAAGGCGGCUUACUGGACUGCAACUGACGUUGAGGCUCGAAAGUGUGGUAGCAAACGAGGAUUAGAUACCCUGGU
rnacentral:rRNA from 1 species